GAUGAACGCUGACAGAAUGCUUAACACAUCAGCGAUUGAGUGGUGGCGGACGAGUGAGUAACGCGUAAAGAACUUACCUCACACUUAGGGACGACUUUUGGAAACGAAUGAUAAUACCUACUACUGUGAGAGAGCUUGGCGUCCCAUUAGCUAGUUGGAGAGGUAACGGCUCACCAAGGCGAGGAGGGGUCGCCGGCCUGAGAGGGUGAUCGGCCACAAGGGGAAUGAGACGCAGCCCUAACGCUUACGGGGGGCAGGAGUGGAGAAUAUUGGAGAAUGGACCAAAGUCUGAUCAAGCAAUUCUGUGUGCACGAUGAAGUUUUCGGAAGGUAAAGUGCUUUCAGUUGGGAAGCGGUACCAACAGAAGAAGUGACGGCUAAAUACGUGCCAGCCGCCGCGGUAAUAC
rnacentral:rRNA from 1 species